rnacentral:rRNA from 1 species
GACGAACGCUGGCGGCGUGCUUAACACAUGCGAGUCGAACGGAAAGGCCCUGCUUUUGUGGUGUGCUCGAGUGGCGAACGGGUGAGUAACACGUGAGUAACCUGCCCUUGACUUUGGGAUAACUUCAGGAAACUGGGGCUAAUACCGGAUAGGAGCUCCUGCUGCAUGGUGGGGGUUGGAAAGUUUCGGCGGUUGGGGAUGGACUCGCGGCUUAUCAGCUUGUUGGUGGGGUAGUGGCUUACCAAGGCUUUGACGGGUAGCCGGCCUGAGAGGGUGACCGGCCACAUUGGGACUGAGAUACGGCGCAGACUCCUACGGGAGGCAGCAGUGGGGAAUAUUGCACAAUGGGCGGAAGCCUGAUGCAGCAACGCCGCGUGCGGGAUGAAGGCCUUCGGGUUGUAAACCGCUUUCGCCUGUGACGAAGCGUGAGUGACGGUAAUGGGUAAAGAAGCACCGGCUAACUACGUG